rnacentral:rRNA from 1 species
GAUGAACGCUAGCGGGAGGCCUAACACAUGCAAGCCGAGCGGUAUUGUUUCUUCGGAAAUGAGAGAGCGGCGUACGGGUGCGUAACACGUGUGCAACCUGCCUUUAUCUGGGGGAUAGCCUUUCGAAAGGAAGAUUAAUACUCCAUAAUAUAUUGAACGGCAUCGUUUAAUAUUGAAAGCUCCGGCGGAUAGAGAUGGGCACGCGCAAGAUUAGCUAGUUGGUGAGGUAACGGCUCACCAAGGCGAUGAUCUUUAGGGGGCCUGAGAGGGUGAUCCCCCACACUGGUACUGAGACACGGACCAGACUCCUACGGGAGGCAGCAGUGAGGAAUAUUGGUCAAUGGGUGCAAGCCUGAACCAGCCAUCCCGCGUGAGGGACGACUGCCCUAUGGGUUGUAAACUUCUUUUGUAUAGGGAUAAACCUACCCUCGUGAGGGUAGCUGAAGGUACUAUACGAAUAAGCACCGGCUAACUCCGUGCCAGCCGCCGCAGUAA